GCAGCAGCCACGGUAAUACGUAGGUGGCAAGCGUUGUCCGGAAUUAUUGGGCGUAAAGGGCUCGCAGGCGGUUUCUUAAGUCUGAUGUGAAAGCCCCCGGCUCAACCGGGGAGGGUCAUUGGAAACUGGGAAACUUGAGUGCAGAAGAGGAGAGUGGAAUUCCACGUGUAGCGGUGAAAUGCGUAGAGAUGUGGAGGAACACCAGUGGCGAAGGCGACUCUCUGGUCUGUAACUGACGCUGAGGAGCGAAAGCGUGGGGAGCAAACAGGAUUAGAUACCCGUGUAGUCCCUGUCUCUUAUAC
rnacentral:rRNA from 1 species